rnacentral:rRNA from 1 species
UACGGAGGAUCCAAGCGUUAUCCGGAUUUAUUGGGUUUAAAGGGUGCGUAGGCGGCUUAUUAAGUCAGGGGUGAAAGACGGUGGCUCAACCAUCGCAGUGCCCUUGAUACUGAUGAGCUUGAAUACACUUGAGGUAGGCGGAAUGCGACAAGUAGCGGUGAAAUGCAUAGAUAUGUCACAGAACACCAAUUGCGAAGGCAGCUUACUAAGGUGCAAUUGACGCUGAGGCACGAAAGCGUGGGGAUCAAACAGG